rnacentral:lncRNA from 1 species
CUCAGAAACAGCACUGGCACCAUGAGGUCCCUUUAGCUUUCUGUUUUCUGUGUGCCUUUCCCAACUCAGCUCUAACUUUUUGCUAAUUUAUAUCUCCCUUACAUUCCCCACCAUCCCAUGUACAGAUGCUGCUGGAGUCCACAAGACACGCAGGCAAGACGGAAGGAGAGACCCAGUUGCUCUUUGGUAUGAAAAACUCAGAGCUCAGUUUGGCAUUUUGCUUUUGCCCACUGUUGGAGACAGGAGAUAGAUGGACCUUUGGCCUGGCUCAGUGUGGCUGCUCUUCUGGUGUUGUGAAAGAGCUGGAGCCCUUGUGGACUGUUUGGGAAUGCCUUACAGGACCAAAAAUAGAACAGUAUAUAGCAGUAUACCCAAGAAAGAAAAGGCAGACGACUCCAUGUGUUUCCAGGAAACUCCUCCAAGUCAACCAGGAAUUCCCAGCAAAAUCAGUG